UAAAAGGUUUUUUAAUUCCAUUUGUGCUCUACUUUAUGACCUUAAUUAAAUUAUUUUUGUUUUAAGUAGGCAAUAUUUAUUAAUUACAAUAUAUAUUGUUGAUGAUGGUAAUGUGUAGUGCAGUGUAUUGCAAAAAUAGAUCAACUUUGACUAAAAAGUUAUCUUAUCGACCAAGAAAAUGUUUAAUUUUCCAAAAAAACAUCAAUCGUAGGAAGUUGUGGAUCAAUGCCAUCAAACGUACGAAUUGGACUCCCACCAAAGACUCAAGACUUUGCCAAGCUCACUUCGAAGAAUCAAUGUUUCUGCAGAAGUCUUCAGAAGGAAGGUGGCGUUUGGUACAUAAUGCAAUUCCUACUUUAUUUGAACAUGUUAAGAUAAGAAA
rnacentral:lncRNA from 1 species